UUUAAAAGGAUAACAUUUAUUGGUCACACUUACAAGAUUUAAAACAAUACAGGCAUAUCACCAUAUCCACUGGAACUCCUGCUUGGAAUUUAAAAGGGUAUUGCAGCAGCCCUCGAGUUAAAAACAUAAAUAAACAGUCCUAAGCGUUUCAUACAUUUACACGUACUUCCUCAGGGACAAUCAAAAUUCAGUAGACAGUCAUGCAC